GACGAACGCUGGCGGCGUGCUUAACACAUGCAAGUCGAACGGAAAGGCCCUGCUUUUGUGGGGUGCUCGAGUGGCGAACGGGUGAGUAACACGUGAGUAACCUGCCCUUGACUUUGGGAUAACUUCAGGAAACUGGGGCUAAUACCGGAUAGGAGCUCCUGCUGCAUGGUGGGGGUUGGAAAGUUUCGGCGGUUGGGGAUGGACUCGCGGCUUAUCAGCUUGUUGGUGGGGUAGUGGCUUACCAAGGCUUUGACGGGUAGCCGGCCUGAGAGGGUGACCGGGCACAUUGGGACUGAGAUACGGCCCAGACUCCUACGGGAGGCAGCAGUGGGGAAUAUUGCACAAUGGGCGGAAGCCUGAUGCAGCAACGCCGCGUGCGGGAUGACGGCCUUCGGGUUGUAAACCGCUUUCGCCUGUGACGAAGCGUGAGUGACGGUGAUGGGUAAAGAAGCACCGGCUAACUACGU
rnacentral:rRNA from 1 species